rnacentral:ncRNA from 1 species
CCAAAAACAUAAUGUUUUGGUCCUAAACUUGCCGCUAUUUUUUUUUCUAAAUUUAUACAUGCAAGCAUCUACAUACUAGUGAAAAUGCCCAACAAAUAAAAGAGAACGGAGCCGGUAUCAGGCGCAAUAUAUUUAGCCAAUAACACCUUGCUUUGCCACGCCCCCACGGGUUUACAGCAGUAAUUAAUAUUAAACACUGAGCGAAAGCUCGAUUUAGUUAUAGAAGCAUACAGAGCCGGUAAAUUUCGUGCCAGCCACCGCGGUUAUACGAAAGGCUCAAAAUAACGGCCCCCGGCGUAAAGCGCGGUUAGAGAUAUAUAACUAAGGGAAAACAUCUUCUUAGCUGUAAAACGCCAAGGAAGACAAGAAUACAUUACCCUUAAUUAACUUCACACCACGAAAGCAGGGACACAAACUGGGAUUAGAUACCCCACUAUGCCCUGCCCUAAACUUAGAUAGCAAAAUACUACCUAUCCGCCAGAGAACUACAAGCAAAAUACUUAAAACUCAAAGGACUUGGCGGCAUUCCAUAUCAACCUAGAGGAGCCCGUCCAGUAAUCGAUAAUACGCGCUAAACCCUACCAUUUUUGGCCACUCCAGCCUAUAUACCGCCGUCGUCAGCUAACCUUGUGAAAGAAAAGAAGUAAGCACAAAAGCCCUCGCUAAAACGUCAGGUCAAGGUGUAGCUAAUAAAAUGGGUGUGAUAGGCUACAUUUUCUAUAAUAGAACACACGGAAAAUACAAUGAAACCUUGUAUUUGAAGGCGAAUUUAGAAGUAAACUAAGAAAGGAUCCUUAUUUUAACACAGCCCUGGAAUGCGCACACACCGCCCGUCACCCUCCUCAA